rnacentral:rRNA from 1 species
UACUCUCUAGUGACCGAUAGUGAACCAGUACCGUGAGGGAAAGGUGAAAAGCACCCCGGAAGGGGAGUGAAAUAGAACCUGAAACCGUGUGCUUACAAGUAGUCAGAGCCCGUUAAUGGGUGAUGGCGUGCCUUUUGUAGAAUGAACCGGCGAGUUACGAUUUGAUGCAAGGUUAAGCAGUAAAUGUGGAGCCGUAGCGAAAGCGAGUCUGAAUAGGGCGUUUAGUAUUUGGUCGUAGACCCGAAACCAGGUGAUCUACCCUUGGUCAGGUUGAAGUUCAGGUAACACUGAAUGGAGGACCGAACCGACUUACGUUGAAAAGUGAGCGGAUGAACUGAGGGUAGCGGAGAAAUUCCAAUCGAACCUGGAGAUAGCUGGUUCUCUCCGAAAUAGCUUUAGGGCUAGCCUCAAGUGAUGAUUAUUGGAGGUAGAGCACUGUUUGGACGAGGGGCCCCUCUCGGGUUACCGAAUUCAGACAAACUCCGAAUGCCAAUUAAUUUAACUUGGGAGUCAGAACAUGGGUGAUAAGGUCCGUGUUCGAAAGGGAAACAGCCCAGACCACCAGCUAAGGUCCCAAAAUAUAUGUUAAGUGGAAAAGGAUGUGGCGUUGCCCAGACAACUAGGAUGUUGGCUUAGAAGCAGCCAUCAUUUAAAGAGUGCGUAAUAGCUCACUAGUCGAGUGACACUGCGCCGAAAAUGUACCGGGGCUAAACAUAUUACCGAAGCUGUGGAUUGUCCUUUGGACAAUGGUAGGAGAGCGUUCUAAGGGCGUUGAAGCAUGAUCGUAAGGACAUGUGGAGCGCUUAGAAG